rnacentral:rRNA from 1 species
GACAGAGGUCUCAAGCGUUGUUCGGAUUCAUUGGGCGUAAAGGGUGCGUAGGCGGCGCGGUAAGUCGGGUGUGAAAUCCCGGGGCUCAACCCCGGAACUGCAUUCGAUACUGCUGCGCUAGAGUACUGGAGAGGAGAUUGGAAUUUACGGUGUAGCAGUGAAAUGCGUAGAUAUCGUAAGGAAGACCAGUGGCGAAGGCGGAUCUCUGGACAGUUACUGACGCUGAGGAGCGAAAGCGUGGGGAGCGAACAGG